UACGAAGGGGGGCUAGCGUUGUUCGGAAUUACUGGGCGUAAAGCGCACGUAGGCGGACAUUUAAGUCAGGGGUGAAAUCCCAGAGCUCAACUCUGGAACUGCCUUUUGAUACUGGGUGUCUAGAGUAUGGAAGAGGUGAGUGGAAUUCCGAGUGUAGAGGUGAAAUUCGUAGAUAUUCGGAGGAACACCAGUGGCGAAGGCGGCUCACUGGUCCAUUACUGACGCUGAGGUGCGAAAGCGUGGGGAGCAAACAGG
rnacentral:rRNA from 1 species